AAGGAUAAAGAUUUAGGCAAGUCAUAAUGAGAUAAGUGUAAAAUCUGGUGGAAGUUGCCUAUAUAAUUAACACACAAACUGCAAACGUCUACCAGCCAGUCAACGCUCAUAUGUAUUAAGAGCGCAUAUGAAGAACCUACAAUUAUUGUUUUAGCAAAUUUUCAUAUCCUUAUUUCUCCCAAUCCUCCAUCAUGAAAAAUUUCAUCACCUGUCUCCCAUUUUUCCUUGUUUUUGGCUUCACUGGGGCAGUGUCUGCAACUUCUCUACAGUUUGACUCAGUUUUCAACUUUGGUGACUCUCUUAGUGACACUGGAAAUUUCCUUCUUUCUGGUGCCUUGGCAUUUCCUGUCAUUGGAAAGCUCCCUUAUGGCGAAACCUUCUUUCGCCACCCAACAGGGAGGUGCUCCGAUGGACGUCUAGUUAUCGAUUUCAUUGCUGAGGCAGCUGGGUUGCCAUAUUUGCCACCCUUUCUAGGGCUUGGCAAAGGCCAAGAUUUCAAAUAUGGCGUGAAUUUUGCGGUUGCAGGAGCCACUGCACUUGACUCUAAAUUUUUCUAUGAGCAUAAUAUUGGGCAAAUUUUGUGGACUAACGAUUCACUGAGUGUUCAGCUUGACUGGUUCAAGAAGUUGAAGCCUUCCCUUUGCCCUACUAAACAAGGUGACGGUGACAGACACCUAAUUAAUACACACAUCUAUUAAGUUCCCGUAACAUUUUUCCUUUUCCUUCUUUUUUUCACCAGAAUGUGAUAAAUACUUCAACAAAUCACUAUUUGUUGUGGGAGAAAUCGGUGGAAAUGACUAUAACUAUGCCUCUUUUGUCGGUGGGAGCAUUAAACAACUUCGUGCUUCUGUACCACUCGUUGUUCAAGCAGUAGCUGGAGCUGCCACACUAUUGAUAGAGGAAGGUGCAGUAGAAUUAUUGGUGCCAGGGAAUUUGCCAAUCGGAUGCUCAGCAGUGUACCUGACCUUGUUUCAAAGCCCUAACAAAGAAGAUUAUGAUAAACAUGGGUGCUUGAAAGCCUACAAUGCUUUCUCCAAGUACCAUAAUAAACAGCUCAAAGGAGCCCUGGAGAUCCUCAGACUCAAGUACCCACAUGCAAGGAUUAUUUAUGCUGAUUAUUACGCUGCAGCCAAGCGUAUCAAUCACUCACCAAAUCGUUACGGAUUUUACAAUGGAGUCCUAAGAGCCUGUUGUGGAGGGGGUGGACCAUACAAUUUCAACAAUUCAGCAAGGUGUGGUCACAUAGGUUCAAAAGCAUGUGAAAAUCCAUCCACUUACGCAAAUUGGGAUGGAAUUCACUUGACAGAAGCUGCAUAUAAGAUUAUAGCCAAGGGUUUGAUCUAUGGCCCUUUUUCUAGACCACCACUUAGAAAAUUUUCCCUGUAAACUCCUUCGGUGUUAUCGUAACUACAAAUAAAAAGAGUACGCACCGCCCACUGCCUAGUCUUUGUACUUUUCUAUUCUUUCUAUCACCAAUAAAAUUUUCUUAUCAAGAAAUCACUUCAUUUAAUUCGACUAUCCUUUCAGUAUUUGCACCGACAAGAAUGAUGCACACAGAG
rnacentral:misc_RNA from 1 species